rnacentral:rRNA from 1 species
GAUGAACGCUGGCGGCGUGCUUAACACAUGCAAGUCGAACGGAAAGGCUCCUGCUUGCAGGGGUACUCGAGUGGCGAACGGGUGAGUAACACGUGGGUGAUCUGCCCUGCACUUCGGGAUAAGCCAGGGAAACUGGGUCUAAUACCGGAUAGGACGAUGGUUUGGAUGCCAUUGUGGAAAGUUUUUCGGUGUGGGAUGAGCUCGCGGCCUAUCAGCUUGUUGGUGGGGUAAUGGCCUACCAAGGCGUCGACGGGUAGCCGGCCUGAGAGGGUGUACGGCCACAUUGGGACUGAGAUACGGCCCAGACUCCUACGGGAGGCAGCAGUGGGGAAUAUUGCACAAUGGGCGCAAGCCUGAUGCAGCGACGCCGCGUGGGGGAUGACGGCCUUCGGGUUGUAAACUCCUUUCGCUAGGGACGAAGCGCAAGUGACGGUACCUGGAGAAGAAGCACCGGCUAACUACGUG